rnacentral:rRNA from 1 species
GAAGAAGUUACAAAGGGCGAACGGAGGAUGCCUAGGCUUCUAUAGCGCGAAGAAGGACGUGGUAAGCUGCGAAAAGACGCGGGGAUCUGCAAACAGGAAUUGAUCCGCGUAUAUCCGAAUGGGGCAACCCGAUAUGUUGAAGACAUAUCACUGAGCAAUCAGAGCAGACGCAGGGAACUGAAACAUCUAAGUACCUGCAGGAAAAGAAAGAAACAUCGAUUCCCUAAGUAGUGGCGAGCGAACAGGGAAAAGCCCAAACCGGCCUUGUUUCGGCAAGGCCGGGGUUAUAGGACUGCGAGAUUAAAUGAUAGCAUUAAGCGGAAGGUUAUUGGAAAAUACCACCGGAGAGUGUGAAAGUCACGUAUGCGUACGAGUUAUUAAUUUAUAGCAGUAUCCUGAGUAAGGCGGGACACGAGGAAUCCUGUCUGAAAUCACGGGGACCAUCCCGUAAGGCUAAAUACGAAUAGAAGACCGAUAGUGAACCAGUACUGUGAAGGAAAGGUGAAAAGUACCCCGAACAGGGGGGUGAAAAAGUUCCUGAAACCGUUCGCUUACAAGCGGUCGGAGUUCUGUACAAAGUAUAGAAUGACGGCGUGCCUUUUGCAUAAUGAGCCUACGAGUUACAUUUCAUUAGCGAGGUUAAGGCGUUCAGCGCCGGAGCCGAAGCGAAAGCGAGUCUGAAAAAGGCGUUCAGUUAGUGGAAGUAGACGCGAAACCUAGUGAUCUACCCUUGAUCAGGUUGAAGGAGCCGUAACAGGCCCUGGAGGACCGAACCAGUUUCCGUUGAAAAGGAUUUGGAUGAAUUGAGGGUAGGGGUGAAAGGCUAAUCAAACUGGGAGAUAGCUCGUACUCCCCGAAAUGUCUUUUGGGACAGCCUCUGAGUGACCUUUAUGGAGGUAGAGCUACUGAUUGGAUGCGAGGGCUUCAUCGCCUAUCAAAUCCAGACAAACUCCGAAUGCCAUAAAGAACUCUCAGGGAGUGAGUCAUCGGGUGCUAAUGUCCGGUGGCGAGAGGGAAAGAGCCCAGACCAACAGCUAAGGCCCCCAAACGUGUGUUAAGUUGCAAGAACGAGGUUUUGUUGCCGCGACAGCUAGGAUGUUAGCUUGGAAGCAGCUAUUCAUUUAAAGAGUGCGUAACAGCUCACUAGUCGAGCGACAAAGCGUGGAUAAUAAACGGGCAUCAAGCACACUGCCGAAGCUAUGGAUUGGGGUAAGGUUCUAAAGAAUUUUACUACAAUGGUAGGGGAGCAUUCCAUGAGCGUAGAAUCUGUCUCGUAAGAGGUGGUGGAGCGCAUGGAAAAGAAGAUGUAGGCAUAAGUAACGAUAAUGCAGGCGAGAAACCUGCACACCGAAAGCCCAAGGUUUCCUGAUCAAUGUUAAUCAGAUCAGGGUUAGUCGGGUCCUAAGGCGAAGCCGAACGGCGUAGUUGAUGGACAAAUGGUUAAUAUUCCAUUACUUGUAUAUUGAGAGAAGGAGAGACGUAGGAGUGACACGCUCGCGAACGGACGGAAUAGUUCGUUAAAUCUUGUAGGUAUAAAUUCUCGUUAACAGCGAAAAUUUGCCGAGAAGAGACAGUACCGUACGGCUUCGGCCAAGCGGAUAGUAGCGGUAAUCAGACUACCAAGAAAAACUUCGUAUCGUUAAUUGAUAUACAACCCGUACCGUAAACCGACACAGGUGGGCGAGGAGAGAAUCCUCAGGUGCUCGAGAGAAUCAUGGCUAAGGAACUCGGCAAAUUGACCCCGUAACUUAGGGAGAAGGGGUCCCUGCAGCAAUGCAGGGCGCAGAGAAAUGGCCCAGGCGACUGUUUAACAAAAACACAGGGCUUUGCGAAAUCGAAAGAUGAUGAAUAAGGCCUGACACCUGCCCGGUGCCGGAAGGUUAAGAGGGGAUGUCAACCGCAAGGUGAAGCAUUGAAUCGAAGCCCCGGUAAACGGCGGCCGUAACUAUAACGGUCCUAAGGUAGCGAAAUUCCUUGUCGGGUAAGUUCCGACCUGCACGAAUGGUGUAACGAUCUGGGCGCUGUCUCAGCCAUGAGCUCGGUGAAAUUGUAGUCACGGUGAAGAUGCCGUGUACCCGCAACGGGACGAAAAGACCCCGUGCACCUUUACUGCAACUUAGCGCUGAUUUUGGAUACUUAAUGUAUAGGAUAGGUGGGAGACAAUGAAGCCGGAACGCCAGUUCCGGUGGAGUCGCCGUUGAAAUACCACUCUUUGAAUAUUUGGAAUCUAAUCCCGAAAGGGAGACACCGCUUGGUGGGUAGUUUGACUGGGGUGGUCGCCUCCAAAAAAGUAACGGAGGCUUUCCAAGGUUCCCUCAGCACGAAUGGUAACCGUGCGCAGAGUGUAUUAGCAAAAGGGAGCUUGACUGCGAGACAGACAAGUCGAACAGGUAGGAAACUAGGAUAAAGUGAUCCGGUGGUUCAGCAUGGGUUGGCCAUCGCUCAUAGGAUAAAAGGUACGCCGGGGAUAACA